rnacentral:miRNA from 1 species
GCAGGAAGCUGUUUGAACAGGAAGUUGCUCAGCAGGAAGCUCAGAAGCAACAGCAACUUCAACAACAACAGCAGCAGCAACAGCAGCAGCAGCAGCUCCAGACUCUGACUUAUGA